UACGAGGGGGGCAAGCGUUGUUCGGAAUUAUUGGGCGUAAAGGGCGCGUAGGCGGUCUGAUAAGUCUGAUGUGAAAUCUCUGGGCUCAACCCAGAGUCUGCAUUAGAAACUGUCGGGCUUGAGUAUGGGAGAGGUGCGUGGAAUUUCCGGUAUAGCGGUGAAAUGCGUAGAUAUCGGAAGGAACACCUGUGGCGAAAGCGGCGCACUGGACCAAAACUGACGCUGAGGCGCGAAAGCUAGGGGAGCAAACAGG
rnacentral:rRNA from 1 species